GUGGGGAAUAUUGGUCAAUGGGCGCAAGCCUGAACCAGCCAAGCCGCGUGCAGGAUGACGGCCCUAUGGGUUGUAAACUGCUUUUGUACGGAAAGAAACCCCCGACUUGUCGGGGACUGACGGUACUGUACGAAUAAGCAUCGGCUAACUCCGUGCCAGCAGCCGCGGUAAUACGGAGGAUGCGAGCGUUAUCCGGAUUUAUUAGGUAUAAAGGGUGCGUAGGCGGGUUUGUAAGUCAGUGGUGAAAUACUACAGCUUAACUGUGGAACUGCCAUUGAUACUGCAAGUCUUGAGUACAACUGAGGUAGGCGGAAUGUGUGGUGUAGCGGUGAAAUGCUUAGAUAUCACACAGAACACCGAUUGCGAAGGCAGCUUACUAAACUGUAACUGACGCUGAGGCACGAAAGCAUGGGGAGCAAACAGGAUUAGAAACCCGAGUAGUCC
rnacentral:rRNA from 1 species